rnacentral:rRNA from 1 species
UAGGGAAUCUUCGGCAAUGGACGAAAGUCUGACCGAGCAACGCCGCGUGAGUGAAGAAGGUUUUCGGAUCGUAAAACUCUGUUGUUAGAGAAGAACAAGGACGUUAGUAACUGAACGUCCCCUGACGGUAUCUAACCAGACAGCCACGGCUAACUACGUGCCAGCAGCCGCGGUAAUACGUAGGUGGCAAGCGGUGUCCGGAUUUAUUGGGCGUAAAGCGAGCGCAGGCGGUUUCUUAAGUCUGAUGUGAAAGCCCCCGGCUCAACCGGGGAGGGUCAUUGGGAACUGGGAGGGUUAAGUGGAGGAGAGAUGAGUGGAAUUCAAGGUGUAGCGGUGAAAUGCGUAGAUAUAUGGAGGAACACAAAUGGCGAAUGCGGCUCUAUGGUCUGUAACUGACGCUGAGACUCGAAAGCGUGGGGAGCAAACAGG